GGGUGGUUAGCUCAGCCGGUAGAGCACCUCGCUUACACCGAGGAUGCCGGGGGUUCGAAUCCCUCACCACCCA
rnacentral:tRNA from 1 species